UGCAGCCGCGGUAAUUCCAGCUCCAAUAGCGUAUAUUAAAGUUGUUGCAGUUAAAAAGCUCGUAGUUGAAUUUCGGGGUUCUACCGUUGGUCGGGCUUUGUCUGUACUGGCGUGUAGAAUUUCUACCUUCUGGGGAACUAUCAUGUUAUUAAUUUAACGUGGUGGGAAACCAGGACCUUUACCUUGGAAAAAUUAGAGUGUUCAAAGCAGGCUUAUGUCUGAAUACAUUAGCAUGGAAUAAUAAAAUAGGACGGUGGUCCUGUUUUGUUGGUUUCUGAAUCACCGUAAUGAUUAAUAGGGAUAGUUGGGGGCAUUAGUAUUCAAUUGUCAGAGGUGAAAUUCUUGGAUUUAU
rnacentral:rRNA from 1 species